rnacentral:lncRNA from 1 species
AUGGCACUAAAAAUGCUGGUGAGAGUAGUUCUGCUGGGCUGGGUCACAGGGAGUUCUUUGCUUGCUUUCCAGGAAGUGGUCCUGACUCAAAGCAAGGGUUGGCCUGGAAAAGGAGUGAGCAAUAGCCCCGCUGAAGGGGCCAGGAGUGGGCUGAAGAAAGCAGUCCACAGAUCUGGAGGUCAGCUGGGCAGCCCGGAAGUUGGGUUCAGGUCUCUUACACGUGUCUUUUAUUCAAGGAGCAGGUUGAAUGAGUAGCCCCUACCUGCAGAAAGCCCUUGCCACGGAGAACGGUCUCUGCUUACGUCAUAUCCACUAACGAGAUAACUAAUACAGAAGCAAGUCAUUUGGCCAAACCCAAAGUCAGUGGGACAAGGAUAUAUAUAUUCUCAGCCUCUUCUGUGGCGAGGUGCACUGCCAACCAACGUGGCAAUGGGUCUGAGUAGGUAUCAUCCUUUCAGAAAGAGUAAAGAAUUGGGAACAAAAUCAUGCCUUCAAGUUGGCAAACUGGGACCAUGAGAAGAGGAGAGAAAAACUUCCAAGAAGGAAAUCUUCAAUAGUAGAUGCAGAGAGGGUCGAUAACUAUGCUGUGAAAAGACUGUUGGAAUUUGUCUGUGGCUAGGUAUCAUUUAAGGGGAGCAUAUCAGCAGAGUGGUGGGAAUGCACAGACCAGAUGGCGAUAGGGGUAAGGUUGUCAGUUUUGGCAAAUAAAAAUAUAGGAUACCAA